ensembl:lncRNA
CGGUACAUUUAACAUCAAGCCCCCAACAAUGGCUUCAACAAGGCCCUACCACAUCUAAACAUUGCUAGAUUUCUCUCUGACCAGUUUAGCCGCGCUCGACCAGCAAAAGUCGAACAAUUGAAAGUUGUAUAUUUUCCAUCAUGCUCAGCAGUCAGAACUGGGGCUGCGAGGGGUACGACACUCGGCGUAAGAAGGUUGCUAUGGUGCUUCGGUGAGGAGUUUUACUAGUUGAGGUUUCCCAAGGGGACGCUACUGAGAAGCUGGCUCACCAAGUCCCGGCCCAGACUGCUGCUGCUCAUCGCGGGGUUGAAAAGGCCUCAGGUGACCCUCAUGCGGAGGAAAAGGAUGAAGCGCACGAAAGUAGCAAAGGCCACAUCAUGCAUCGGCCACUUGGACACUGAAAAACUGGUCCAAGCUAUCAUUUUAUCUAGGCUGGACUACUGUAAAGUUAUCCUCACUGGCUCUCAUGAUGAAACCAUCAACAAACUAAGAACCUGCAAUCGAAUGCCGCAUUUCAGUUGAGGCUUUGGCAAAGAGGAUCUCCCCACCUGAGUUAGAUAUGAAAGACGAAGACAUGGAAGAACUACGUUUUGAAUCUUUGUCAAAGCAACGAACUAAAAGCCAAAGCAAACAGAAAAGGGGUUUAGCGUCUUUUGUGAAAACAAGGGACCUGCAACAUAGAUCUAGACCCCCUGAUUAAUCGAGAUCUUCUCCUACACGCCCAUUUGUAUAUCACUUCAAAUACAAAUUUGUUAUGGUUCAUUAUAGUACAAUGAGUGUGACUUGUACAUUAUUUACAUCCAGUGGCACACAUUUAGUUUAACAGAACUAUCGCUGUGUUCUUAGGAUAGAUCUUUUCCAGUCAGAGAAUGAUUUGUUUCACAUAAGCACAUUUGUGUUUGAGUGGGUGAAUAAGAAAAUAGUGCCACUCUGUGGCUAGCAGGUGCAAAUAUCUAAACCACAAGUAGGUACACAGCAUUAAUGCAACUCUGGGCCAAUGAAAGGGUCACCAUUAAUGCAACUCUGGGCCAAUGAAAGGGUCACCAUUAAUGCAACUCUGGGCCAAUGAAAGGGUCACCAUUAAUGCAACUCU